rnacentral:rRNA from 1 species
UGGGGAAUAUUGGACAAUGGGCGAAAGCCUGAUCCAGCCAUGCCGCGUGUGUGAAGAAGGUCUUCGGAUUGUAAAGCACUUUAAGUUGGGAGGAAGGGCAGUAAGCGAAUACCUUGCUGUUUUGACGUUACCGACAGAAUAAGCACCGGCUAACUCUGUGCCAGCAGCCGCGGUAAUACAGAGGGUGCAAGCGUUAAUCGGAAUUACUGGACGUAAAGCGCGCGUAGGUGGUUCGUUAAGUUGAAUGUGAAAGCCCCGGGCUCAACCUGGGAACUGCAUCCAAAACUGGCGAGCUAGAGUAGGGCAGAGGGUGGUGGAAUUUCCUGUGUAGCGGUGAAAUGCGUAGAUAUAGGAAGGAACACCAGUGGCGAAGGCGACCACCUGGGCUCAUACUGACACUGAGGUGCGAAAGCGUGGGGAGCAAACAGG